rnacentral:rRNA from 16 species
CGAACGAGGGGAAGUGAAACAUCUCAGUACCCUUAGGAAUAGACAUCAAUUGAGAUUCCCCUAGUAGCGGCGAGCGAACGGGGAGAAGCCGAUUAGUACUAAUGUAGAAGAACAGCGUGGGAAAGCUGACCGUAGUAGGUGAUAGUCCUGUAUUCGAAACAUUAGCAUUAACAUAUUAAGUAGAGCGGGGCACGAGAAAUCCUGUUUGAAGAUGGGGGGACCAUCCUCCAAGGCUAAAUACUCCU